GAUGAACGCUGGCGGCGUGCCUAAUACAUGCAAGUCGAGCGAACGGACGAGAAGCUUGCUUCUCUGAUGUUAGCGGCGGACGGGUGAGUAACACGUGGAUAACCUACCUAUAAGACUGGGAUAACGUCGGGAAACCGGAGCUAAUACCGGAUAAUAUUUUGAACCGCAUGGUUCAAAAGUGAAAGGCGGUCUUGCUGUCACUUAUAGAUGGAUCCGCGCUGCAUUAGCUAGUUGGUAAGGUAACGGCUUACCAAGGCAACGAUGCAUAGCCGACCUGAGAGGGUGAUCGGCCACACUGGAACUGAGACACGGUCCAGACUCCUACGGGAGGCAGCAGUAGGGAAUCUUCCGCAAUGGGCGAAAGCCUGACGGAGCAACGCCGCGUGAGUGAUGAAGGUCUUCGGAUCGUAAAACUCUGUUAUUAGGGAAGAACAUAUGUGUAAGUAACUGUGCACAUCUUGACGGUACCUAAUCAGAAAGCCACGGCUAACUACGUG
rnacentral:rRNA from 1 species